rnacentral:rRNA from 1 species
CCUACGGGGGGCAGCAGUGGGGAAUUUUGGACAAUGGGGGCAACCCUGAUCCAGCCAUUCCGCGUGAGUGAAGAAGGCCUUCGGGUUGUAAAGCUCUUUUGUCCGGAGCGAAACGGGCGGCCCUAAUACGGUCGUCUACUGACGGUACCGGAAGAAUAAGCACCGGCUAACUACGUGCCAGCAGCCGCGGUAAUACGUAGGGUGCGAGUGUUAAUCGGGCGUACUGGGCGUAAUGCGUGCGCCGGCGGUUGAAUCCCCUGGCUCAACCGUGGAAUGGCAUUUGGGACUGCAAGGAUGGAGUGUGGCAGAGGGGACUAGAAUUCCUGGUGUAGCAGUGAAAUGCGUAGAUAUCAGGAGGAAUACCGAUGGCGAAGGCAGGUCCCUGGGUUAACACUGACGCUCAUGCACGAAAGCGUGGGGAGCAAACAGGAUUAGAUACCCGGGUAGUC